GAUGAACGCUGGCGGCGUGCUUAACACAUGCAAGUCGAACGGGAAACCUUUUAAUGAAGCUUCGGCAGAUUUAGCUGGGUUCUAGUGGCGGACGGGAGAGUAACGCGUGGGUAACCUGCCUUAUACAGGGGGAUAACAGUCAGAAAUGACUGCUAAUACCGCAUAAGCGCACAGGACCGCAUGGUCCGGUGUGAAAAACUCCGGUGGGAUAAGAUGGACCCGCGUUGGAUUAGCGUGCUGGUGGGGUAACGGCUCACCAAGGCGAGGAUCCAUAGCCGGGAAGUGAGGGUGAGCGGCCACAUCGGGGCUGAGACACGGCCUGGACUCUUACGGGAGGCAGCAGAGGGGGAUACUGCACAAUGGGGGGAGCCCAGAAGCAGCGACGCCGCGUGAAGGCAGUAGUAUCUCGGGAAGUAAACUUCUAUCAGCAGGGAAGAUAGUGACGGUACCUGACGAAGAAGCCCCGGCUAACUACGUG
rnacentral:rRNA from 1 species